GACGAACCGUGCGAACGUUAUUCGGAAUCACUGGGCUUAAAGCGCGUGUAGGCGGUACGGCACGUCGGUCGCUGAAAGCCCCCGGCUCAACCGGGGAACGGGCGCCGAUACGACCGUCCUGGAGGGACGUAGGGGGACCUGGAACUUCCGGUGGAGCGGUGAAAUGCGUUGAGAUCGGAAGGAACGCCCGUGGCGAAAGCGAGGUCCUGGACGUUUUCUGACGCUGAGACGCGAAAGCCAGGGGAGCGAACGGG
rnacentral:rRNA from 1 species